CUGAGCUGUAACCAACAGGAGGUGUCCUAAGGGCACAAAUUGUUUCUUCAUAAAAGAUCAGGAGCAGUAAGCAGCUGGGGAGGGGUGUGAGCAACAUCCACAUGUGGAACACGUCUGCAUCUCAUCCAGGGAAAAUGCUGGGACCUUGUGCCAAGCUUAAAUGCAUGCAGACCUUGGGAACGGCAGUGGGACUUCUUUGAAAUUUCUGUUUCUGCUGACACAGGGUAUUCUCUAUCACAGCCUUUCACUGCAGCCACUUCUGCCUUAUUUCAUAGUGUCUAAAGCCCUGGACUAUGAAAGGUCCAAAUGCAGCAGUAGGAUCUGCAGAUGGGAUUCUCCCUGCAGGUAGCAAGUGCUUCAGCAUCUAAAGGCAAGAUUCUGUUUCAUGCAUGUUAGUUUGACUUUGAAAAUGGG
rnacentral:lncRNA from 1 species